rnacentral:rRNA from 1 species
GGUUGAAGACACGGUAACACGUGCUCGAAGGACCGAACCCACUUCUGUUGCAAAAGCAGGGGAUGACCUGUGGCUAGGGGUGAAAGGCCAAUCAAACUCGGAGAUAGCUGGUUCUCCGCGAAAUCUAUUUAGGUAGAGCGUUCGAGAUCCACCUUUGGGGGUAGAGCACUGAAUGGGCUAGGGGGGAGCGAUCCUUACCAAACCCAAUUAAACUCCGAAUACCAAAGAGUGAAGCUCGGGCAGGCACACAGUAGGAGCUAAGUUCUAUUGUGAAAAGGGAAACAGCCCUGACCGUCCGCUAAGGUCCCAAAUUUAUGGUUCAGUGGGAAAGGAAGUGAAGUAGCCAAGACAGCUAGGAGGUUGGCUUAGAAGCAGCCAUCCUUUAAAGAAAGCGUAAUAGCUCACUAGUCUAGAUAAGCCACUUUGCGCCUAAAAUGUAACGGGGCUUAAACCAUAAACCGAAGCGGCGGGUUUCUUUGUUGUAAGGGCUUUUGUUUUUGCAACAGGGGAGCGGUAGCGGAGCGUUCUCUGAUCGAUGAAGGUUAUCCUGUGAGGGGUGCUGGAGAGAAGAGAAGCGAGAAUGCUGACAUAAGUAACGAUAAAUGAAGUGAAAGACUUCAUCGCCGAAAGUCCAAGGGUUCCUACGCAAUGUUAAUCAACGUAGGGUUAGCCGACCCCUAAGGAGAGGCUGAAAAGCGUAUCUGAUGGGAAUACUGUUAAUAUUCAGUAGCCAGUUGGAAAUGACGGCAUAAGUGUUUUGUGCGUUUUUAUUGGAUUAAACACGCAGGGCUCUUGUGUCCAGGAAAUAGAUUCAACGUAUUGAUCGUACCCGAAACCGACACUGGUGGACACGUUUAAAUGAACGAAGGCGCUUGAGAGAAUGGUGUUGAAGGAACUCGGCAAAUUGUCCCUGUAACUUAGGAAGAAGGGGAGCCUUUUUUUAGGAAACUAGGAAGAGGUGGCACAGAAUCGGGGGUAGCGACUGUUUAGCAAAAACACAGGACUCUGCUAAUUCGAAAGAAGACGUAUAGGGUCUGACGCCUGCCCGGUGCUGGAAGGUUAAGAGGAGAUGUGCAAGCAUUGAAUUGAAGCCCCAGUAAACGGCGGCCGUAACUAUAACGGUCCUAAGGUAGCGAAAUUCCUUGUCGGGUAAGUUCCGACCUGCACGAAUGGCGUAACGACUUCCCCGCUGUCUCCAACACCAACUCAGUGAAAUUGGAUUCUCCGUGAAGAUACGGAGUACCCGCGGUCAGACGGAAAGACCCCGUGCACCUU